GUUUGAUCCUGGCUCAGGAUGAACGCUAGCGGCAGGCUUAAUACAUGCAAGUCGAACGGGAUUCGGGGUAGCAAUACUUUGAUGAGAGUGGCGCACGGGUGCGUAACGCGUAUGCAACCUACCUUUAACAGGGGAAUAGCCCCGAGAAAUCGGGAUUAAUACUCCGUAACAUUGCGGUGUGGCAUCACACUGCACUUAAAGCUGAGGCGGUUAAAGAUGGGCAUGCGUGACAUUAGCUAGUUGGUGAGGUAACGGCUCACCAAGGCAACGAUGUCUAGGGGUCCUGAGAGGGUUAUCCCCCACACUGGUACUGAGACACGGACCAGACUCCUACGGGAGGCAGCAGUAAGGAAUAUUGGUCAAUGGGCGCAAGCCUGAACCAGCCAUGCCGCGUGCAGGAAGACGGCCCUAUGGGUUGUAAACUGCUUUUGUCAGGGAAUAAUCCCCCGCUCGUGACCGGGGCUGAAGGUACCUGAAGAAUAAGCAUCGGCUAACUCCGUGCCAGCAGCCGC
rnacentral:rRNA from 1 species